rnacentral:rRNA from 1 species
CGGGAGGCAGCAGUGGGGAAUCUUGCACAAUGGACGAAAGUCUGAUGCAGCAAUUUCGCGUGAAGGAUGAAGCAUUACGGUGUGUAAACUUCUUUUUUGGCAGAAGACGAAUGACGGUAUGUCAAGAAUAAGAGACGGCUAACUACGUGCCAGCAGCCGCGGUAAUACGUAGGUCUCAAGCGUUAUCCGGAUUUACUGGGCGUAAAGUGUCCGUAGUCUGAAUUGUAAGUCUGUUUUCAAAUCCUACGACUCAAUCGUAGAAAGGGAAUGGAUACUGCAAUUCUGGAAGUAUCUAGGGGUUAGUGGAAUUUCCGGUGGAGCGGUGAAAUGCGUUGAUAUCGGAAGGAACGCCGAAAGCGAAAGCAGCUAACUAUAGAAUACUUGACGAUGAGGGACGACAGUUUGGGGAGCAAACAGGAUUAGAUACCCUGGUAGUCCAAACCGUAAAUUAUGCUUGCUAGAUGUUUUUAUCAAUUUAUUGGUAGGAGUGUCGUAAUCUAACGAGUUAAGCAAGCCGCCUGGGUAGUAUAUUCGCAAGAAUGAAACUCAAAGGGAUAGGCGGGGGAACACACAAGCAGUGGAUUAUCUAGAUUAAUUGGAUAAUAAGCCAAGAAUCUUACCUAGGAUUGACAUGUAUUGUGUCUGCGGUGAAAGUCGCAUAUCCGUAGCAAUACGGAGCUUUACACAGGUGGUGCAUGGUCGUCGUCAGCUCGUGCCGCAAGGUGUCUAGUUAAGUCUGGAAACGAGCGCAACCCUCAUGCUUAGUUAGUAUGUCUAAGCAGACUGCUCGGGUAACCGAGAGGAAGGAGAGGAUGACGUCAGAUCCUCAUGCCCCUUACACCUAGGGCCUCAUAGAUAAUACAAUGGGUAGGUACAGCGAGAAGCGAUACCGCGAGGUGGAGCAAAUCUUUAAAACUACCCCUAGUUCGGAUUGUAGUCUGGAACUCGACUACAUGAAGUUGGAAUUGCUAGUAAUGGCAGAUCAGCCAUGCUGCCGUGAAUACGUCCCUGUUCCUUGCACUCACCGCCCGUCAAACCAUGGGAGCUGAGGCUCUUUGAAGACUCAUUAUAUGGGUUAAGGAGGGAAUCAGUGACUGGGGUUAAGUCGUAACAAGGCAUCCCUACCGGAAGGUGGGGAUA